GCGACUCGAACGUCCGACCGUUGGGAUUUUAGGGCAAGGAGCGCGCCAGGGCAAAGUGUUCUUCGCCAUGGCGGCGGCGGUCGCCAUGCAUUCGGCGCUCACCAGCAGCAGCGGCGGCGGCGGCGGCGGCGUCACGGCCAGAUCCGCGUCUCACAGGUUCGCAAGGCAGCAGAAUUUGAUCCUGGGCAGCCGCAGCGCAGUGCCUAGAUCCAGGGAUCGCCGAUCGACGCCAGUAGUCUCCACAUCCAGGACGACGACCGUGAUCCCCACNNN
rnacentral:lncRNA from 1 species